AGCAGCCGCGGUAAUUCCAGCUCCAAUAGCGUAUAUUAAAGUUGUUGCAGUUAAAAAGCUCGUAGUUGAAUUUCGGGAUCAAUACGUCGGUCGUGCUUUCGGGUACGUACUGGCGUCGUUGGUUUCUCUCUUCUGACGAACCAUGAUGUCAUUAGUUUGGUGUUAUGGGGAGUUAGGACUGUUACUUUGAAAAAUUAGAGUGUUUAAAGCAGGCAUUAGCUUGAAUACAUUAGCAUGGAAUAAUGAAAUAGGACGUUUGAUCCUAUUUUGUUGGUUUCUAGGAUCGACGUAAUGAUUAAUAGGGAUAGUUGGGGGCAUUAGUAUUCAAUUGUCAGAGGUGAAAUUCUUGGAUUUAUUGAAGACUAACUACUGCGAAAGCAUUUGCCAAGGAUGUUUUCAUUAAUCAAGAACGAAAGUUAGGGGAUCGAAGACGAUCAGAUACCGUCGUAGUCUUAACCAUAAACUAUGACCGACUAGGGAUCGGAUGAUGUUAAUUUUUAAUGUACUCAUUC
rnacentral:rRNA from 1 species